AUUGAACGCUGGCGGCAUGCUUUACACAUGCAAGUCGAACGGUAACAGGGUGCUUGCACCGCUGACGAGUGGCGAACGGGUGAGUAAUGCGUCGGAACGUGCCGAGUAGUGGGGAUAACGCGGCGAAGUUGUGCUAAUACCGCAUACGUACUGAGGUAGAAAGUGGGGGACCUUCGGGCCUCACGCUAUUCGAGCGGCCGACGUCUGAUUAGCUAGUAGGUGAGGUAAAGGCUCACCUAGGCGACGAUCAGUAGCGGGUCUGCGAGGAUGAUCCGCCACACUGGGACUGAGACACGGCCCAGACUCCUACGGGAGGCAGCAGUGGGGAAUUUUGGACAAUGGGCGAAAGCCUGGUCCAGCCAUGCCGCGUGUCUGAAGAAGGCCUUCGGGUUGUAAAGGACUUUUGUCAGGGAGGAAAUCCCUAGUGCUAAUAGCACUGGGGGAUGACAGUACCUGAAGAAUAAGCACCGGCUAACUACGUGCCAGCCGCCGCCGUAA
rnacentral:rRNA from 1 species